AGCCAGUUAAAUAUAUUUAUUUUUCACAGCAAAAAGCUCCGGUUUGAAUGAGAAGGCGGCAUUCUUCUUUCACUUUAACCCAAAUCUCAGCAUUGAUUAGAAGGAUCUAUACACAUGUUUUCAUUAUGUUUUUACUGUGUGGAUGAUAAAUGAACUACUGAUGGUGUAUACAGAUUACUGAAUGAGUGAAGAAAAGCUGAUGUGAGAAACAGCCUGUGUAGAUGUCAAUAACUCUGCUCUGUUAAGAAACUCUGAUUGCAGACGCCCCUUCUCUGGUGGAUCACUAUGACGAUGGUCUUCAAUCUGUCUGCUGGAAGUUUGGCUGUAAUAAACCAAAAGAAGCUUGCAGAACUUAUUGAACAGAUAAGCACAAGUAUCAAAGACAGGUACAACAUUGAAGAAAUGUAUGCAGUGGCCACAAGUGUUCCGAAGGAUGAAGACCAAGUUUCUUAUGACUUCACAAAGUCCAUGUGCCGAAAAGUGUGCAGAUCCAGAUGGAAAAUACAGGAUCACUGAUCAGCUCAGACGUCUCUUUAAUGGAUGUGAGUGGGGUGCAAAGGCGUUUGUAUUUAACGUUUUAUUCAGGCCACCUAGGCAGGACAUUAAUCCAGACAGGAUAAAUUUUGCCCUGACAAAUAUCGGAAUAGCC
ensembl:lncRNA